rnacentral:lncRNA from 1 species
AUGAAUAAUAUGAAAAUGAAAGGUUUAAUGAAAGCUUCAUAUAAAAAAAAUGAAAGGUUUGCGAAAGUACAGAUGAAAAUUAAGAAAAUGAAAGGUUUAGUGAAAGGUACAGAUGAUGAAUUGGGUACAAAAAGGCAAAUGAAAGGAUAGCUUACUUAAGAGAGUAAAAAAAGAAGAAAAAAGAGAAAUGAACUGGUAGAAUGAGGGAAAAAAGAAAAUGAAAAAGUUGACAUAAUGGACAGAAUAAGGUCAAAGGAAAUUAAAGGGAUGAAAGGUAACUUAAUGUUAAAAUGAGAGACUGAAGAUCAUGUGAAAAUACGAAUGGAAUACUGGAUAGAGUAAAGAAUGAAUAAGAAAAGUUAAAAAGUAUGAAUGAAAACAUGUCUUCAGUCAAAGGUAGUGGUGACACAUUUGAUAAAUUUAUGAAAAACAAAAAUCUAUUUUAGAGGAAAGAUAUGAUGACACACUGGGUAGAGUAAGGUAUUGGCUAAGAAAAAUAAAAGGGUGAAUGAAAGAUUUUAAUAGUAUCCCGAAAUAAUCAAGUAUAUAUAGAAAAAGGAAAUUUAAAAAGUUAUGUUAAAAGUAUCGGUAACUCAUAAGGUUUUGUAAAGUAUAGAUAAGAGAAUGGAAGGUUUUACGUAAAAAUAAACGAUAUACAGGGUAGAGAAAGGUAUAAAUAAGGAAAUUAAAGGUUAACUUUGAAGAUACCGAUGAAGCUGUAGAUGAAAGUAGAUGACUGGGUAGAGUAAGCCAUUACUAAGUAAAUAAAAAAUGAAAGAUUUUAAUAGGUUACUGGGUAGAGUAAGGUAUAAAUGAGAAAAAGAAUGGUGAAUGGUAUUAGCAAUUCAUUGGGUAUAGUGAAGUAUGAAUGAGAGAAUAGAAAGUAAAUGAUACACAGGGUAGAGUAGAGGUAUAAAUAAGGAAACGAGAGUUAAGUUGAAGGUACGAAUGAUGUAGUGAGGAAAAAAAGUGAAACGUAUGGAUUUUACGUUGGGUAAAGUAACGUAAAAUAAGGAAAAUUAGAGGUUAAAUGAAAGGUAUGAAUGACACGAAUGAUACAGAUAAGUAUAAAUAAGCAAGUUAAAGGUGAAAUGAAAGGUAUGUAAAAAAAAAGAUUAAAUGAAAGGUAUGGAUGACAUGAAUGAUAAAGAUGGGUAUAAAUAAGAAAUUUAAAGAUUAAAUAAAAGGUAUGGAUAACACAAAUGGUAAAGAUGAGAAUAAAUAAGAAAAUUAAAGAUUAAAUGAAAGGUAUUGAUAAAAAAGAGAAAGAAAGGUAUACAUAAGAAAAUUAAAGGUGAAGUGAAAGGUAUGGAUGACACAAAUGAUAAAGACAGGUAUAAAUAAGCAAAUUAAAAGUGAAGUGACAGGUAUGGGUGACACGAAUGGUCAAAAAUAGGUAUAAAAACAAAAACAAAUUAAUGGUGAAGGUAAAGGUAUGGAUGAUAUAAUAAAGCAAGGGCGAAACAGGAACAAAAGUGUUGAUUGCGGCGCACCAGUUGUAGUGUAAAAAAUAAGAAAGUGUUUUGGAAAGUCGAAUAUAAGGUAUGGAUGACACACUGGGAAGAGUAAAGAAAAUUAAAAGGACAGUUAAAUGAAAGGUAUGGCUGUCAGACAGAUUAAAGAAAGGUAAAACUAAGAAAAGAUAAAGGUAGGUGAAAGGAUUGGAUGACAGGCUUGACAUGGCAAAGAAAAAGUUUUUGGUGAGAUAUACUGGGUAAAGGAAAACUGAGAAUAUGAAAGGUCAGGUGAAAGGUAUAUAUGUAUGAGAAAUGAGAAAAUGAAAGGUUUAGUGAAAGGUACAGAUGAAAAAUAAGAAAAUGAAAGGUUUAGUGAAAGGUACAGAUGAAAAUUGAGAAAAUGAAAGAUUUAAUGAAAGGUACAGAUGGAAAUUAAGAAAACGAAAGGUUUAAUGAAAGGUACAGAUGAAAAACAAGAAAAUGAAAGGUUUUGUGAAAGGUACAGAUGAAAAUUAAGAAAAUGAAAGGUUUAAUGAAAGGUACAGAUGAAAAACAAGAAAAUGAAAGGUUUAGUGAAAGGUACAGAUAAGAAAAUGAAAGGUACAGAUGAGAUAUAAGAAAAUGAAAGGUUUAAUGAAAGGUACAGAUGAAAAUUAAGAAAAUGAAAGGUUUAGUGAAAGGUACAGAUGAGAUAUAAGAAAAUGAAAGGUUUAAUGAAAGGUACAGAUAAGAAAAUGAAAGGUACAGAUGAGAUAUAAGAAAAUGAAAGGUUUAAUGAAAGGUACAGAUGAAAAUUAAGAAAAUGAAAGGUUUAGUGAAAGGUACAGAUGAGAUAUAAGAAAAUGAAAGGUUUAAUGAAAGGUACAGAUGAAAAUUAAGAAAAUGAAAGGUACAGAUGAAAAUUAAGAAAAUGAAAGGUUUAAUGAAAGGUACAGAUGAAAAUUAAGAAAAUGAAAGGUUUAAUGAAAGGUACAGAUGAAAAUUAAGAAAAUGAAAGGUUUAAUGAAAGGUACAGAUGAAAAUUAAGAAAAUGAAAGGUUUAGUGAAAGGUACAGAUGAGAUAUAAGAAAAUGAAAGGUUUAAUGAAAGGUACAGAUGAAAAUUAAGAAAAUAAAAGGUUUAGUGAAAGGUACAGAUGAUGAAUUGGGUACAAAAAGGCAAAUGAAAGGAUAGCUUACUUAAGAGAGUAAAAAAAAAAAAAAAAAAAAAAAAAAAAAAAAAAAAAAAAAAAAAAAAAAAGAGAGAAAGCUACCAGGUAGAAUGUGGGAAAAAGAAAAUGAAAAGUUGACAAAAUGGACAGAAUAAGGUCAAAGAAAAAUUAAAGGGAUGAAAGGUAAUUUAAUGUUGAAAUGAGAGAUUGAAGAUCAUGUGAAAAUACGAAUGGAAUACUAGAUAGAGUAAAGAAUGAAUAAGAAGAGUUAAAAGUAUGGAUGAAAAUGUGUCUUUGCGUGAAAGGGAGUGGUGACACAUUUGAUAAAUUUAUGAAAAAAUAAAAUACCUAUUUUAGAGAAAAGAUAUGGAUGACACACUGGGUAGAGUAAGGUAUUGGCUAAGAAAAUAAAAGGGUGAAUGAAAGAUUUUAAUAGUAUCCCGAGUAAUCAAAUAUAAAUAGAAAACGGAAAUUAAAAGUUAUGUGAAAAGUAUUGGUAACUCAUAAGGUAUUGCAAAGUAUAGAUGAGAGAAUGGAAGGUUUUGCGUAUAAAUAACCGAUACACAGGGAAGAGAAAGGUAUAAAUAAGGAAAUUAAAGGUUAACUUUGAAGAUAUCGAUGAAGCUGUAGAUGAAAGUAGAUGACCGAGUAGAGUAAGUCAUUACUAAGUAAAUAAAAAAUGAAAGAUAUUAAUAGGUUACUGGAUAGAGUAAGGUAUAAAUCAGAAAAAGAAUGGGGAAUGGUAUUAACAAUUCAUUGGGUAUAGUGAAGUAUGAAUGAGAGAAUAGAAAGUAUAUGAUACACAGGGUAGAAUAGAGGUAUAAAUGAGGAAACGAGAGGUUAAGUUGAAGGUACUAUUAAUUCAGUGAGGAGAAAAAAAAAAAUUAAACGUAUGGAUAUGAAGUUGGGUAAAGUAACGUAAAACAAGGAAAAUUGGAGGUUAAAUGAAAGGUAUGGAUGACACGAAUAAUAAAGAUAGGUAAGGAAGAUAAAUAGGUAAGAAUAAUAAAGAUAGAUAAGCAUAUUAAAGAUUAAAUGAAAGGUAUGGAUGACACGAAUGGUAUAGAUGGGUAUAUAUAAGAAUAUUAAAGGUGAAGUGAAAGGUAUGAAUAGAAAAAGAGAAAGAAAGGUAUACAUAAGAAAAUUAAAGGUGAAGUGAAAGGUAUGGAUGACACAAAUGAUAAAGACAGGUAUAAAUAAGUAAAUUAAAAGUGAAGUGACAGGUAUGGGUGACAUGAAUGGUUAAAAUAGGUAUAAAACAAACAAAUUAAAGGUAAAGGUAAAGGUAUGGAUGAUAUAAUAAAGCAAGGGCGAAACAGGAACAAAAGUGUUGAUUACGACGCACCAGUUGUAGUGUAAAAAAUAAGAAAGUGAUAUGGAAAGUUGAAUGUAAGGUAUGGAUGACACACUGGGAAGAGUGAGGAAAAUUAAACAAACAGUUAAAUGAAAGGUAUGGCUGUCAGACAGAUUAAAGAAGGUAAAACUAAGAAAAGAUAAAGGUAGGUAAAAGGAUUGGAUGACAGGCUUGACACGGUAAAGAAAAAAUAGAGUUUUUGGUGAGACAUUCUGAGUAAAAGAAAACUGAGAAUAUGAAAGAUCAGGUGAAAGGUAUGUAUGGUAGUGGAUAAAUAAACAAAAAUAAGAAAAUGAAAGGUUUAAUGAAAGGUAUAGAUGGCAAAUAAGAAAAUGAAAGAUUUAAUGAAAGGUACAGAUGAAAAAGAAGAAAAUGAAAGGUUUAGUGAAAGGUACAGAUGAGAAAUAAGAAAAUGAAAGGUUUAAUGAAAGGUACAGAUGAGAAAUGAGAAAAUGAAAGGUUUAGUGAAAGGUACAGAUG